GAAUUCACAGAGGAAACAGAAGAACAAGCACAUUAAAAACAGAUGAAGAGCAAAAGUUAUCAGUAUCACUAUUUACUGGUGCCAAGAUCAUGUGAUAAAAAGCUUGUCUGAAUAUGCACAAAGGAGCACGCAGAGAAAAUGAGUGGUGGGGAAAAUCCAUGUAACUGUCUCAGCUCCUCCUAGACCCAUCCCAUGAGCCACCAGACCAUCAAAGCCCAGAGAAGCAAAGAGCCCAGAGGCAGAUACUCCUUUGUGAACUCCAACCCUCUUCUCCAUACAUAGAAGACAGGAAUAGCACACCCUCGCUGAUGUGUUAAAGUCCACUGGAAAUUAACUCCAGGUCUGGAUAGACCAUUAUGGUCAUGCCAUGAAAAAAAAACAUACUCCUUCUUAGGCUCCUACUAAAUACCUUACGUUUACUACUCUUUGAGGUAAAAAGGUAACCUUCCUUUGAAUUUUUUUAGAUUCUCUUGAACAUAUUUGGGUUUUUUUGAGUGGGAGAAAAGUGGACUGCAAUGCUAUGAAUUGGCUCCCAAUAAGUCCUGUCUCCUGAGAAUCAUAGAAUGGCUUGGGUUGUAAGAAUUCUUAAAGAGCAUCUAGUUCCAACCCCCUUGCAAUGGACACGGACACUUUUAACUAAAUCAAGUUGUUCAGAGACCCAUCCAGUCUGGCCUUUAAGACUCCAAUGGGUAGGACAUCAAGACCUUGUCUGGAGAAAAUGUUAUAGUGCCUCCCCAACCUCACUGUAAAACAUUUAUUUCUAAAAGCUAAUCUAAACCUACUCUGUUUCAGAUUGAAACCAUUCUCCCUUGUGCUAUCACUACACACCCUUGUAAAAAGUCUCCCUCUUUCUUUUAGGCUCCCUUCAGGUACUGGAAAGCCACAAUUAAAAGCCUUCUUUUCUCUAGGCUUCAAAAUCCCAAUUCUUUUAUACUUUGUUCAUUGGACAGGUGCUCCAUCCCUCUAAUCAACUUGGUAGCCCUCCUCUAUACUUGCUCCAAAAGGUCCAUGUCCCUUCUUGGUUCUCCAGAGCUGGAUGCAGCACAGCAGGUGGGGUCUCACCAGAGCAGAGGGGCAGGAUAACCUUCCUUAUCCUGCUGACCACAUUACUUUUGAUUAAGCCCAGGAUACAAUUGGCUUUCUGGCUGUAAGUGGACAUUGCUGGCUCGUGUCAAGCCUCUCCUGCACCAGAACACCCACGUCCUUCUCAGCAGGUCUGCUUUCAAUCUCUUCAUCCCCCAAGAUCUAUUGAUGUCAAAGGUUUUCCCCAACCCAGCUGUGGCAUCUUGCACUUGGUCAUGUUAACCCUCAUGACAUUUCCAUGAGUCAACUUCUUUGGUUUGUCCAGGUCCUUCUGGAUGACAUCCCAGCUAUCAGCUGUGUCAACCACACCACUCCAGCUUGGUGUCUUCUGCAAACUUGAUUAGGAUACACUCUAUCCCUUAUUCUAUGUCAUUAAUGAAGAUAUUAAACAGCAUUGGUCCCAAUAAGAACCCCUGAAGGACACCAUCACUGUUACUGGUGUCCAUCAGUUCUGUGAGCCAUUGACCACUACCGUCUGGAUAUCAAUUCCUUACCCACCUAACAGUCCACCCAUUGAAUCCAUCUCUUUACAAUUUAAAGAGCAGGAUAUUGCUGGGGACCCCGAGAAGUUUUGGAUGUGCUCAUCUUGGAGAGUUCCAGGCCAGAUCCAGGUUCUGGAUCCUGUUAGCUCUGGACCUAAUCUAGUGGAAGGUGUCCUUGCCUGUGGGAGUUAAAACUAGAUGAUUUUAAGGGUUUCAACCAUAUCAAAAGCUUUACAAAAGUUCAGAUACAUGAUAUCUAUACCCCUGUCCUUAGGAUGCUAUUCAGAAACUGGAGGAAGACAAAAUUCUAGUUGGAGACUUGCAAAAAUGUGUCAUAAACCCAGAUCCAAACUUACUAAAUUGAGAGAUAUACAGAAUUUACAGGCUUGUGUCCAGGAGAGAAAUCUAGAAAGCCAUUUUUUGAAGGACCUUAAAAACCUAAAAAUUUACAGAUCUGAUUUGCUUAAUAGUCUCCCUGAUUACUGAAGCUAUAGAUUAUGUCUACAAAAGUAUAUCAUUUAGAAACCAUAAAUUGACAUAACUCUUGCUAUAGUACUGUUCUCCUGUAUCAUUGAUGAACUGUACUCAAGGAUCCCAAACCAGGUCAAAACCAUUGAGUUGCAUAAAAAAUGGAGGAGACCUAGCUAUUUUCAUUAUAGUAAGCUAAGGAUUAUUGAGCUACUUAGGAGAGUGACGAUUCAUAACAUUUUAUCCCAUUUUACCAGUCUUUAAAGAACUAGAAAGAAGGUCAGUCCAAGUUUCUUCAAUUUUUCUUAAAUUCUUUUCAAUUUCUUAAUUUUUCUUAAAAUCAACAAGUUAAAUUUUGUGAUGUUAUCUUCCUAUGUCUCUUAAGGGCACAUGACCUUUAUAAACAGUUUGAAAAAA